GGUUGAUUGCACAGCUGCGCUGUGACUGAGGAACACGGGGCUGUACAACAGGAUAUAGAAGGGAGGCCGUGACCGGCCUCACACUCCAGUGCAGUAGGUGGCGGUAUAUGCACCUUUAAGUUGGUGCGAUCUGCCAGUAAACAAAAAAGAAGAAGAAGAAGAAGAA